rnacentral:lncRNA from 1 species
UGACACACUGCAGAAGGGUGGAAUGGGGAUCUUUUGUCUUUGUUUUCAGGUUACUCUUUGUUACAGCAUGAGCAUAGCCUUUUGAAUUGGAAAGAUCCUAGAUGCCUAGAAGGUUCUCUGGUUUGUAGAGAAUAUAACUGCUCUAAGGAUUAGGAAAGGCCAUUUGGGGAUGUGGCCAUCUUAAGACUAAUUCCUCCUGCAAUAGUUAUCUUUGAAAUGUUUUUACCUCGCAGUUAAUGCAUAGCUUCACUGGGGCCUUUACCUUUUCCCAGAAUACUCUGCAAGUGUUUAAGUUUUAGCUGCUAGCUGUCUUAGUUAAGUAAGAAUUGUCUGAUGAGAGGAUACAGCCAGAGCGUGUCAUGGAAUGACAGUCAUCGUGACACACUUGUACCGAAAGAGAUCCUUGCAUUUGUUUUCUCAGCGUACUGUAAUGAAGAUGUGUUAUGACAUCAUAAGUAAAGGAAAGUCAUCGAGGGCAAGACUCUCCAAACUUUGUAUAAUUGAAAUUAAAUGUGUAAUGAAUUAGAUUUAAAACAUUAUUAAAUGUUCCCAUUAAGGAAAAUACAGAGAUAAAUAUCUUCAGGGAUUUCAAAAUAUAUGUAAAAAUUGGAUCUUACACAAAACUCUUUGAGAAGGCAAUGUAAUACCUGUAUGUGCCAUUAAUCCACGCUAAAAGAUUUUUUUAUACUACUAUUUCAAAAGUGCAUUGGCUAAGAUAUUUUAAGUAUUUGAAUGGAACUGCUUAUAUAAGUCAGUUUUCAUAUCACUUACAGUUUGAUUAUAGUAUUUAGAGCAGGGAUACUAAUACUAUAACUCACAUAUAUAUUUUUUUACAGUGGUGAGAGAAACUUUGGGAAAGUUUAGUCUUAUUUCAUGAUACGUCCUGUAUUCUAGACAGCAACCUUUGAAUUUUUCUCAUUUAUAUGGAUAUAUAUACACUUGCUAUAUGCAACAUACAUAGGCUCAGGUUAGUUUCCUGCUUUCAAAUGUUUUUAUGACUAUGGACUUUUUUAAAGAGACAAAUGUUUUUAUUUUUACUUCUAAUUUCUUUCUGGGCAAUACUGUCAAAUGAGAAGAAAAACAGAAGCCCUGUUUCUUAAUUGACACCACUUAAGCUAUAACAGUAUUGAUAUACUCCCGUUUCCAUGUUAGUUGUAAUUAAAUCUGGAUAGCCGACUUAAUGGAAUUGGUGCUACUAAAAUAUAGACAUUUUUCUUUUAUUGAUAAUGCAGGAUGAAGAAUUUGGAAUUUUUCUAAUUCAUAAAUGUCAUCUUUCUAGAAAACAGUUAAAUGAAGUUAGUUUUUACUGCAGUGAAUAAAACACCAAGCAGAAGUGUGAAGUGUGGUCUUAUCGUGGUACAAGUCUUAAAGAGAUGGUAGAGUUCAGUGGAUAGCAGGGAAUUGUGAAGCAGGUCACCACGCCCUUCUGGGUGGACCUGUCACAGGGUCACCACAUUCCGUGCUUCACCAGCAGUAUGUCUCUCAAGGCCCUGUGCAGCGGGCAUGUUGUUCUGCAAAUGGAGGAAAAUGGUCUGAAGUAGGAGGAAAGAGUUGUUCUCAGCUCCAAGAGAAAGACCUCUCCAGAAUUCGUGUUUAGGCAGUAACUUAAAUUCCUUUCCCUCCUCCUUCAAAUGGCCUCUUACUUAAAGCAACAGCCAUUAGCAAGGAUGAUGCAUGCCCGUGCACUCAAGACUAAUAAGCAGUGUUCUCUAACACCUUGCACUUGGCUCUCUUACAAGGAUUCGAUUUCUCACUUUUCAUUUGCUGCUGUGUCUAAGCAUCCUCCUUCAAGGGGAGAGAGAGCCUUUGAGAUCUGGUCCCUUGUGAUGUUCUUAGAGACAGAUUAUGCUCCUGUUUGGUGUGCUCAGAUUGAAGCCUGGCUUGGAACCAUCCAGGCGACGAAUUGUAUGGGCUAGAAAUUCCCAAUAGAUAACAAGCUUUGUGUAUGAAGUAAACACGGCUUAGAAAUCCAGGGACAGCCCAGGUCUCAGUGAUUUAAAGCUGGUGUUGGCUAAGGUAUACUCUGCCUUACACCGAAACAAGAAUUUGGUUGGAACGAAUUCCAUUUCUAAGGGAUGCCUAAAAGAAGUUGUGUCCUACUUAGCACUGUUAGCUUCAUUUUCCACUUUGCCAAGAGAAUCAGUGUUUCUUGAGUAUGACUUUGAAAUUUGUGCAAUAUAUUACUAAAAUAGUUGAUUUUUUUUUUUUUUUUUUUUUGCUUUCAAAUUUAGAACGAAACAUUGCCUAGAUCAGUAGAAAAGCAAGGGGUGUGUCACCCCCUUUCCUUGGAGCCUUUUCUGCUCUCAUAGCCAGCUCUACUUCUCUUGACUGGGAUUCCUUUGUACAUUGUAAAGUUGAGCAUAUGUUCUCAGUGCUUUCUGAGGCAUUAUGUAAAGGGUUCAUACUAGAUGGUCAGUUAGAUACAUGUUAGCAUUAGCGUAGUUCAAAGCUGGAGCAGGCGUUGAGGGAAUGCUUGUGUCUUGUAGACUGGAGGCCUUUUCAGUAGCUUAGGCUGUUGUCCCAGAUGGACAGCAGCUUAAUGCCUUUUGAAAACUAUAUAAAGCGACUUUUGAGGCUUUCAGGUUUACAUGUAUGUCGUAGGUAUUUUUUUUUAAUUUUGAAAUGUUUAAGUUUUAAUUAAAGUUUACUCCAGUAUGUUAAUGAUGUAGUCAAAUAUUUAUUGAAAGGCAAAAUAGAAUAUUUUAAUGUUAUCCCUGCCAUUUUUCAAGAAUAUUCUUUGCAUCUAACUGCCAGUGCCAUUGUCAAACUUGUUUUCAAAAUUGUUGUACUUUUUUAUUAAACAGAGUGCUUAAUUUUAAAGUAUUAUGUUGCCAUCAUAUAGUGUAUAAAAUGUAAAAUUGCCAAUUCAUUGUACCUAUUAUUUAUUUUUAAACUAAAGUAUAAGAAUACCUUUUGAUUGAAGAAAUUUGUUAUUAAAUUGUUUUUUUUCUGAUGUAGC